CUGCUGCCUUCCGUAGGAGUCUGGUCCGUGUCUCAGUACCAGUGUGGGGGACCUUCCUCUCAGAACCCCUACGCAUCGUCGUCUUGGUGGUCCGUUACACCGCCAACUAACUAAUGCGACGCAUGCCCAUCCGCCACCGGAAUUAACCUUUGGCACCAACAGGAUGUCCCGUCGAUGCAUUAUGCCGUAUUAGACGGAAUUUCUCCUGAUUAUCCGGCUGUGGCAGGCAGGUUGUCAUACGUGUUACUUCACCCGUCG
rnacentral:rRNA from 1 species